rfam:Dipodomys ordii contig_52723, whole genome shotgun sequence.
GGUGGCUCAGUGGUAGAGUGCUUGCCUGGCAUGCAUGAGGCCCUGGGUUCAAUUCCUCAGCACCA